rnacentral:other from 1 species
CGCGGUGAAGUGGCUGUCAGGAUGAUAGGGCUUCACAAGAGGGGACACGCUGGAGAGCGUAAAGGAAAAGCUUCAGGAACGGAGCAAGAGGAGAGCGCAGGAGCGCUAAGGGACACCUCCAGGAAGGAGAAUGAGAGCCGAUCAGGAUGAACGGUGGGUCAGGAUGACUAAGGACGAUGCGUCAGGGGGGCGCAAAGUAAACGUCAGGAUGAUGUGAUGCAGGAUGCAUUAAAAAGGAUGACAGGUCGCAAGGCCGCUGGAAAAGUUGUCAUGGACGAGCAGGGAGCACUAAAAGUAGCCGGACUGCUGCGAAACGAACCGGGAGCACUGUUUUUACAGUGCUCCCUUUUUUUA